rnacentral:rRNA from 1 species
UACGUAGGGCGCGAGCGUUGUCCGGAAUUAUUGGGCGUAAAGAGCUCGUAGGCGGCCUGUCGCGUCCGCUGUGAAAACCCGGGGCUCAACCCCGGGCUUGCAGUGGAUACGGGCAGGCUAGAGGCAGGCAGGGGAGAACGGAAUUCCCGGUGUAGCGGUGAAAUGCGCAGAUAUCAGGAGGAACACCGGUGGCGAAGGCGGGUCUCUGGGCAAUAACUGACGCUGGAGGAGCGAAAGCGUGGGGAGCGAACAGGAUUAGACUACCCAGU